rnacentral:lncRNA from 1 species
CGAAUUCCGUUACUUCAUCUAAACCAGUUGCCUAACAACGAGAGGAGGGGAGAAGGUUGGAAAAAACUGGAAGAAAUAAGUUGCAGGUUUUUUACAGAGGUGCGUUUGAUUGAUGCUUCUUAUAUUACCAUCAUUUAAUUAUAAUUAUUACAUAUUAUCAAUGGCAGAUCAAAAACGGAGGAUAUGAAAAGAUCGCCGUCGCCAAACCCGAGCUCUUUUACAUCCAAUCUUCUUGGAGGGAGGUUUUGUCUUUGUUCUCCGACGACGCAUCCCGGCUCUUUCCGACGACGCUUGCAACCACCGUAACGAAAACAAACAAUCAAAUCAUCGGGGUGCCAACACCAUCAAGAACUUUGUUCCCUCCUCCAAGACCGAAGAAAAUAUCUAUUACCUCAACUACUGCAACUAAAGUUUUUGAUUCCACCGGGGUGUCAUAAUCAAGAACUUUGUUCCCUCCUCCUCGACCAAGGAAUUUAUCUUCCGAAACUGAAUUUCUUGAUUCUACAGAGAAUAAAGAAACAACAUCACACUCCUGGCAAGAAUAAAUAAGAUGAAUUCAAAUUCAAAUUUUAUUUGAUUUUAUUUUUUUAAAUAAUUUCAAGCAUUUUUCUUCUUUAUUAAAUUCCAAUAUCGGCAUUAUAAUGUAAUCUGAAACACAGUAAAACAGUUGUUUGCUUAUGAAAUACUAUAAAUAUUGAUGAUCCUAUGAUAAUUAUUAGAAAGGUUUAAAAAACAACAUUUUCAGGAUAAACAGAGCUGUUGAUUCAUUAUUGGCAUCAAAGAUUUGCAACCAUUGCCAGUUUCUGAAGAAAGGAAAUAAAAAAAAAGAUAAGAAAACAAGAUUGAACUAACUUUCAACUUAUUUGCAAUCUGACCCAACAACCGCAUCCACCAAUUGAUCGAUCUUCUUGUCGGAAUUCUUGACGUCCACCACCUCCCCAUCUCCAGAUCGAUUAUCUCCGCCUUCGUCGCCGGAAUCGGAAAGGUCAAGGGACCGUGACCGACUGACGUAGAGGGGAACCGAAGUACUAAUGUGAGAUGCAGAUAUUAUGGACAUUGAUAGCGGUUAUCUGUGGUAUGAAUCGAGGGUGGUGCACGACUAGAUCCCGUGCGGGUUGAUUUUAUAUCCAAGGAAAUGUCCUUAUGUCACCUUGAACGUGCAUUUCUUGGCCUUCAAACGUAGGUCUGCCUUUCGGAUGUUGGCUAAAUUUAAUUUCUUAAUUUCAGGUUGGACAGGUGGUCUUGUUAUACAUUGGACUGGACUAAGAUAUCAUUUACGUAUACCUCGACAUUUCUUCCGAUCUGGUUCGCGAAGAUUCGGUCAAUUAACCUUUGGAAUGUUGUUCCCACAUUCCGGAGCCCGAACGGCAUUACCCGUAAAAAGAACGUGUCAUGCUCGGUUACGAAAGACGUUUUUUUCGGUCCUAAUUCGCCCAGUAUGCUGCCUCGGUUCGUGUCACCCCGGAGGGUCUCAUUAUCAUCCUAUGAGAAACCCAAGAGGGUUGUUAAUCUCUUCUUCGUUGUCUUUAAAGUUUAAAGGGUCAUAUUACUUAUAAUAAUACAAAGAUAACAAAAUAAAUGGAAACAAAAUAAUAUAGGGUUAAAUAUGCAAAUUAUUAAAUUUGAAGAUUGUUAUUUCCAAGAUCUUCUAUAAAUGAUCGAAUUCCGUUACUUCAUCUAAACCAGUUGCCUAACAACGAGAGGAGGGGAGAAGGUUGGAAAAAACUGGAAGAAAUAAGUUGCAGGUUUUUUACAGAGGUGCGUUUGAUUGAUGCUUCUUAUAUUACCAUCAUUUAAUUAUAAUUAUUACAUAUUAUCAAUGGCAGAUCAAAAACGGAGGAUAUGAAGAGAUCGCCGUCGCCAAACCCGAGCUCUUUUACAUCCAAUCUUCUUGGAGGGAGGUUUUGUCUUUGUUCUCCGACGACGCAUCCCGGCUCUUUCCGACGACGCUUGCACCCACCGUAACGAAAACAAACAAUCAAAUCAUCGGGGUGCCAACACCAUCAAGAACUUUGUUCCCUCCUCCAAGACCGAAGAAAAUAUCUAUUACCUCAACUACUGCAACUAAAGUUUUUGAUUCCACCGGGGUGUCAUAAUCAAGAACUUUGUUCCCUCCUCCUCGACCAAGGAAUUUAUCUUCCGAAACUGAAUUUCUUGAUUCUAUAGAGAAUAAAGAAACAACAUCACACUCCUGGCAAGAAUAAAUAAGAUGAAUUCAAAUUCAAAUUUUAUUUGAUUUUAUUUUUUUAAAUAAUUUCAAGCAUUUUUCUUCUUUAUUAAAUUCCAAUAUCGGCAUUAUAAUGUAAUCUGAAACACAGUAAAACAGUUGUUUGCUUAUGAAAUACUAUAAAUAUUGAUGAUCCUAUGAUAAUUAUUAGAAAGGUUUAAAAAACAACAUUUUCAGGAUAAACAGAGCUGUUGAUUCAUUAUUGGCAUCAAAGAUUUGCAACCAUUGCCAGUUUCUGAAGAAAGGAAAUAAAAAAAAAAGAUAAGAAAACAAGAUUGAACUAACUUUCAACUUAUUUGCAAUCUAACCCAACAACCGCAUCCACCAAUUGAUCGAUCUUCUUGUCGGAGUUCUUGACGUCCACCACCUCCCCACCUCCAGAUCGAUUAUCUCCGCCUUCGUCGCCGGAAUCGGAAAGGUCAAGGGACCGUGACCGACUGACGUAGAGGGGAACCGAAGUACUAAUGUGAGAUGCAGAUAUUAUGGACAAUGAUAGCGGUUAUCUGUGGUAUGAAUCGAGGGUGGUGCACGACUAGAUCCCGUGCGGGUUGAUUUUAUAUCCAAGGAAAUGUCCUUAUGUCACCUUGAACGUGCAUUUCUUGGCCUUCAAACGUAGGUCUGCCUUUCGGAUGUUGGCUAAAUUUAAUUUCUUAAUUUCAGGUUGGACAGGUGGUCUUGUUAUAUAUUGGACUGGACUAAGAUAUCAUUUACGUAUACCUCGACAUUCCUUUCGAUCUGGUUCGCGAAGAUUCGGUCAAUUAACCUUUGGAAUGUUGUUCCCACGUUCCGGAGCCCGAACGGCAUUACCCGGAAAAAGAACGUGUCAUGCUCGGUUACGAAAGACGUUUUUUUCGGUCCUACUUCGCCCAGUAUGCUGCCUCGGUUCUUGUCACCCCGGAGGGUCUCAUUAUCAUCCUAUGAGAAACCCAAGAGGGUUGUUAAUCUCUUCUUCGUUGUCUUUAAAGUUUAAAGGGUCAUAUUACUUAUAAUAAUACAAAGAUAACAAAAUAAAUGGAAACAAAAUAAUAUAGGAUUAAAUAUGCAAAUUAUUAAAUUUGAAGAUUGUUAUUUCCAAGAUCUUCUAUAAAUGAUCGAAUUCCGUUACUUCAUCUAAACCAGUUGCCUAACAACGAGAGGAGGGGAGAAGGUUGAAAAAAACUGGAAGAAAUAAGUUGCAGGUUUUUUACAGAGGUGCGUUUGAUUGAUGCUUCUUAUAUUACCAUCAUUUAAUUAUAAUUAUUACAUAUUAUCAAUGGCAGAUCAAAAACGGAGGAUAUGAAGAGAUCGCCGUCGCCAAACCCGAGCUCUUUUACAUCCAAUCUUCUUGGAGGGAGGUUUUGUCUUUGUUCUCCGACGACGCAUCCCGGCUCUUUCCGACGACGCUUGCAUCCACCGUAACGAAAACAAACAAUCAAAUCAUCGGGGUGCCAAUACCAUCAAGAACUUUGUUCCCUCCUCCAAGACCGAAGAAAAUAUCUAUUACCUCAACUACUGCAACUAAAGUUUUUGAUUCCACCGAGGUGUCAUAAUCAAGAACUUUGUUCCCUCCUCCUCGACCAAGGAAUUUAUCUUCCGAAACUGAAUUUCUUGAUUCUACAGAGAAUAAAGAAACAACAUCACACUCCUGACAAGAAUAAAUAAGAUGAAUUCAAAUUCAAAUUUUAUUGGAUUUUUUUAAAUAAUUUCAAGCAUUUUUCUUCUUUAUUAAAUUCCAAUAUCGGCAUUAUAAUGUAAUCUGAAACACAGUAAAACAGUUGUUUGCUUAUGAAAUACUAUAAAUAUUGAUGAUCCUAUGAUAAUUAUUAGAAAGGUUUAAUAAACAACAUUUUCAGGAUAAACAGAGCUGUUGAUUCAUUAUUGGCAUCAAAGAUUUGCAACCAUUGCCAGUUUCUGAAGAAAGGAAAUAAAAAAAAAAAAGAUAAGAAAUCAAGAUUGAACUAACUUUCAACUUAUUUGCAAUCUGACCCAACAACCGCAUCCACCAAUUGAUCGAUCUUCUUGUCGGAAUUCUUGACGUCCACCACCUCCCCAUCUCCAGAUCGAUUAUCUCCGCCUUCGUCGCCGGAAUCGGAAAGGUCAAGGGACCGUGACCGACUGACGUAGAGGGGAACCGAAGUACUAAUGUGAGAUGCAGAUAUUAUGGACAUUGAUAGCGGUUAUCUGUGGUAUGAAUCGAGGGUGGUGCACGACUAGAUCCCGUGCGGGUUGAUUUUAUAUCCAAGGAAAUGUCCUUAUGUCACCUUGAACGUGCAUUUCUUGGCCUUCAAACGUAGGUCUACCUUUCGGAUGUUGGCUAAAUUUAAUUUCUUUCAGGUUGGACAUGUGGUCUUGUUAUACAUUGGACUGGACUAAGAUAUCAUUUACGUAUACCUCGACAUUCCUUUCUAUCUGGUUCGCGAAGAUUCGGUCCAUUAACCUCUGGAAUGUUGUUCCUCUUAAAAUUGGUGCGUCUCUGUUUCAAUCUUCGAGGAAGAAACGCACACUGGCCGGCGGAGAUUUCUCACCGGACGACGAGGAAUCAACUAACAAGGGGGCUGAAUUAGGGUUAUUCGAUUUAACCAACAGCCCCCGUUAGUUAGUACUGUAGACUUGCAAUUAGUUGAAACCUUGUUUAGAGAAAAUGUGUGUGUUUUCAUUGAAUUAACCAUUCAAUUACAAUUCACUACUUAUUGACUAAACACAAGCAGAUUAACCUUAACAACAAACUAACUAAUUAACUAUCUUUAAUUAACUAAUUUGUUGUUGGGCCUCACCUCGGCCCAUUCGUCAUUUAAUUCAUUAGCCCAUCAGUGUUUUAAUUGGUGAAGUUGCAGUUUCACCCUUGAACAUGUGAAGUUGUAUUAUCCUGAUAACCUGCACUCAUAUUUAAUUGUAUAUUAGUCCAGUAGUUAUAUGUUUAAAACUAAACCUUGUUAAUUACUUCUUUACUCCCCCCUCAAGUUCUGGAAUAAAUAUUUAUGAUUCCAAGCUUGACAGAGGCUGAAGUAAUCUCAUUUUCACCUAAUGGUUUGGUGAACAUAUCCGCCAAUUGGUACUUUGUCCCAAUUUGCUUUAGACUAAGCACUUCUUGAGUGAUUAGUUCUCUAAUAAAAUGGCAAUCUAUCUCUAUGUGCUUUGUCCUUUCAGACAGGGUUAUUGGCUAGAUUGAUUGCUGAUUUAUUAUCACAAUAGAUGGUUGUUCUAUUGUUGGUUUUGAUUUUCAUUUCCUUAAUUAACUGGUGGAUCCAUAUUACUUCAUAGGCUGUCUGAGCUAUUGCUCUGUAUUCAGCCUCACAUGAGGAUCUCGAUAUAGUUGCUUGUUUCUUGGAUUUCCAGGAAAUUACUGAGUUUCCUAUUAGUGUGCAAAAGCCAGUUACUGACUUCCUGCUAAUUUGACAUCCUGCCCAGUCAGAGUCACAGAAUGCAUGGAUGUUUAAAUUUUCAUUUGGUUUAUAAAGGAUGCCCUGACCUGGUGCUCCUUUUAGAUACCUGAGUACUUUAAACAGAGCUUUUAAAUGAACUUCUUUUGGUUCACUCAUGAACUGGCUUAGCCAGUGAACUGCAUAACUUAGGUCAGGUCUGGUGAUAUUUAGAUAUAUCAGCUUCCCAACUAAUUUUCUAUAAAAUGUUGGGUCUCCAAUUUGUUUAGAUUCAUUUCUAAGAUAUAUGUUUUUCUCCAUAGGUAUUUUAGAUUCUUUUGCACCUGAGAUAUCACUUUCUGCAAGUAUCUCUAGGGCAUAUUUUCUUUGAGAUAAUAAUAUCCCUUCACUAGAAUGAGAAACUUCAAUUCCUAGAAAAUAGUUUAAUUUUCCAAGAUCUUUUAGUUUGAAUUUAUUUUCUAGUUGUAUUUUUAGAAAUGCUAUUUCUAAUUCAUUACUUUCUGUGAUGAUUAUAUCAUCUACAUAGACUAUCAAAUAUAUUAUGUUUUCAUUUUUCUCUCUUAUAAAAAGGGAGUAGUUUGAUUUGGUUUGUAUGAACCCAAACUCUAACAAUGUGUUUCUGAGUUUCUCAAACCAGUUCCUAGAAGCCUGUUUAAGGCCAUAUAGGGAUUUUUUAAAUCUACACACUCUCUUGUCUCCUUCUUUAAGGAGCCCUUGAGGUGGUUUUAUGUAUACUUCUUCAUGAAGAUCACCAUGUAGAAAUGCAUUAUUUACAUCAAUUUGAUAUAAAUUCCAUCUUUUCUGAGAUGCAAUUGCAUUUAGUAUUCUUACUGUUGUCAUCUUUGCAACUGGUGCAAAGGUUUCAUAAAAAUCAAAACCCUCCUUUUGAGAGAAGCAUUUGGCUACUAGCCUGGCCUUGUACCUCUCAAUAUCUCCAUUUGGUUUAUACUUAAUUUUGUAUAUCCACUUGGACCCUACUGUUUUUCUUCCUUUGGGAAGUUCAGUAAUGUCCCAAGUGUUGUUUGUAAUGAGGGCUUCCAUUUCAGUUUUCAUUGCAACUACCCACUUUGGGUCAUUAGAUGCCUCAUUGAAUGUGGUCGGUUCAUUGAUUUGGUUUAUUUGUUUGAGAAAUUCUUUAUGUUUGUCAUUUACCCUAUGAUAUGAUGCAUAGUUACUCAUAGGGUACUUGGUUUUCUUGGAUGGACCAUCAUCCAUGUCAAAAUCAUUAAAGUGUUUUGGUUUGGUUAUCACUCUGCCCAACCUUGUUUUCUUUACAACUUGGGUUAGUAUAAUUUCUAAUUCUUUAUUUCCACUCUUUUUAUUUUGACCUUCAGUUUCCAAAGAUGUUGGAUUUUUAUUUUUGUUGGCAUGAUGCCUAUUUAUACUGUUUUGAUUUUGAAAAUCCUGAGCUGAAACUCCUUUAUUGUGACUCUGUGUAUCUGAGUUACCCAUGGAUGUUUCUUGCUCUGAACUUAAUAUUCUGGACUUUUUGUUGUUUGAGUCUGUAUCAGUUUGGGUGUUAUAGCACUCUUCUGAUAUGGACUGAUAUUCUAGAGUGAGAUUUGACUGACUAGCCUGGUUAUUUCCAGGUAUAUCUGGCCUGCCUGAACUCACUCUGGAUUCUUUAUUUUCUGAUUUAUUUUCAGAAUUAUUUCCAGUUAUAUCUGGCCUAUCUGAAUUCAUUUUGGAUUCUUUAUUUUCUGAUUUUUUUCAGAAUUUUUUUCAGUUCUUGUUUGAUCUUUGGGUUUUGAAAAAGUUUUGGAUUGAUGUGUUUCUAUUACAUCAUUGAAUAUUUUUUGCAAUGGAAAAAUAUCAAUUGUUUUAUUUAGAUGAUCACCUUGAGAUGAUCACCUUGAGAUGUUGUAUGUUGAAAUGGAAAAAUAUCUUCUCUAAAAAUAACAUCUCUACUUAUGCAGAAUUUUUGAUCUUCUAAGCAUAAUAUUAGGUAUCCUUUUACAUUGGGGGGUAUCCCAUAAACACUCCUCUAAAGGUCAUUGGGGAGAAUUUAUGUUCUCUUUUAUUUGUUGUUGCAUAACACAAGCAUCCAAAAGUUCUUAAGAACUUAUACUUUGGUUUUUGUUUGUGUAGAAUUUCAUAUGGAGUGCUAUUAUUUAACAUUUUUGAUGGAAUUCUAUUUAUUAUAUAUGUUGCAGCCAAAAUACAUUCUCCCCAAUAUUUUAUGGGUAUAUUAGCUUGUAUGUGCAAAGAUCUAGCUAUAUUUAAUAGACAUUUAUGUUUUCUUUCAACCUUUGCAUUUUGUUGAGGGUUGUAGGGGCAUGUGACUUGGUGUAGAAUUCCAAGAUUUUCAAGCAUAUGUUUGAACUUAGAGGACUUAAAUUCUCCACCAUUAUCACUUCUAAUUAUUUUUAUAUUUUUGUCAAAAAAGUUUUUAACUUUUGUGAUGAAUCUUUUUAUACAAUCAUAAGCCAUGGAUUUAUCUUUAAUUAGAUAUAUCCAAGUUGAUCUACUUAAAUCUUCCACAAUUGUGAGAAAGUAUUUGAAACCAUCAUGGGUCUCAAAUGGAAACUUGCCUCAAAUGUCAAUGUGUAUUAGGUCAAAUAAAUUUUCACUUACUGUGGUGUUUUUGUUAUAUUUUAGUUUAUUUUGUUUUGAUAGUGGGCAUACAUCACAAUCUUUACUUGAAAAAAUUUUAUUUGAAAAAACAUAAUUUUUAUUUUUAUUUGAAAAAACAGAAUUUUGAUUCAAAACAGAAUUAUUCUAAAAAUUGUUACAAUCACUCUUUUUAUCAGAGUGUUUUCUAUUCAAACUACAAUCUACUUGUUUGUCUCUAAUUAACACAGCAAGCUUCUCAUUUGAAAUGUGUCCAAGCCUGUUGUGCCAAAUUUUAGUUUCUAGGGAGGUAUAUGCAAAUCCAGGAGGGUAGGGUUGUAUAUAUAAAGCCCAUCUUGGCACCUACCCUUCCCAGUCACUCUCCCUGACUUGCUUUCCUAAAAAAAAAGCAAUUUUUAUUGUCAAAUAGCAUUUUAAGAUUACUAUCCAUAGUUAGCUUAUUAACUGAUAUCAAGUUCACUUUGAACUGUGGUAUGUAUAGAACAUCCUCUAGAAUAAUAUCCUUGGAAUGUGUUAUUUUUCCUGUGGAUUUUGUUUUACAAAUUUCACCACUUGGAAUGGUGACAAAAUGUUCAUCUUUUUCAAUGGGUGGUUCAUCAAAAUACUGAAGAUUCCCAGUCAUGUAUUGGGAAGCUCCAGUAUCUAUGAUCCAUUCAUUUUUAAUAUUUAUCAUGUUAUAUGCAUGACUAAUUUUAAAAAAAAAUAAAACAUUAAAAAAAUAACUCAUACCAUUUGAUUUUAUGAAAUCCUUGAGCAUGAGGAGUUCUUCAUUUGAUAUCCCUUGUAUGGCAGAUGUUGAGGCUUGAUUUGCUGUCUCAACUUUGGCCUUUUUGUUUUUGUUCCAUUUCUUGGAGGGAUCUUUGUUUUUAUCAUUUGGGAAUCCUAUGAUGUGGUAACAAUCCUUCCUAACAUGCCCGUAGUAUUUACAAUUAUCGCAAUAUUUUGAAUUAUCUAGCUUCUUUCCACUCUUGCUAUAUAAACAUUUUUCUUCUUCUUUUUCAUUGGUUUUCUUAGCAAAUAGAGCAGAUUCCAUGCUAGUUUUGUCAUUUCUAAAAAUGGUUUUCUGUUUUUCUUCUUGUAUAAUCAAAUAGAAUACUUUGCUCAUACUAGGUAAUUCAUCAUAAGAGAGGAUUUGGCCUCUUAGUGUCUUGAACUCUUCAUUUAACUCCAAAAGGAAUUGAUGGAUUUUAUCCUUUUCCAUCUUCCUACUGUAUUUUGGGGUGCAUAGGUUGCAAAAAUCUAUAUUUUCUAACUCUAAUUUUUGAUUCCAUAAGGCUUUAAAUUUAUCAUAAAAAAUUAUGACUGAAUCACUACCUUGAUGUAAAUUAUUCAGAUCAUACCUCACUUGAUUUACCUUUGGAGCAUUUUCUUGAUCGUACCUUUCUUGAAGGUCUUUCCAAGCUGUACUUGCAGCUUCAGUAUGCAUGAGUAUGGAGGCAAUUUGAGGGGAUACACUGUUAACAAUCCAAGAAAGAACUAGCCCGUUAACAGUUUCCCAUGCUUCAAAUUCCUUCCCUGUUAUAUCCUUUGGUUUUCUGAUUUUACCAUUGAUGAAAUUGAUUUUCCUUCUUGAGAGCAAUGAUAGCUUUAUUGCAUUUGCCCAGGUUGCAUAAUUGGCCUCUCCUGUCAAUUUUUCUCCGACCAUAAGUGCCCCUGGGUGAUCACCGGAGUUCAAGUAAUAAACUGAUUCUUUAUCAUUGAUUGCAGAGACGUGAUCUCUUCUUCUUGACUUGCUGGAUCGAUGGUGGGACUUAUGGUGGGAUUUACGUCGAUGAGAUUUGUGGCGUGGAGAAUGCAGUAUUGAUGUAGGAGAAGAUGCGGCAACACUUGAACCAGUUGGCGUGCCUUUUUCUGGAAAGGCAUUGCUCUUAAUCUUGCUUGCGGAAGCGUCGAAAUUACCGGCUGAUACCAUCUUAAAAUUGGUGUGUCUCUGUUUCAAUCUUCGAGGAAGAAACGCGCACUGGCCGGCGGAGAUUUCUCACCGGACGACGAGGAAUCAACUAACAAGGGGGCUGAAUUAGGGUUAUUCGAUUUAACCAACAGCCCGUUAGUUAAUUAGUACUGUAGACUUGCAAUUAGUUGAAACCUUGUUUAGAGAAAAUGUGUGUGUUUUCAUUGAAUUAACCAUUCAAUUACAAUUCACUACUUAUUGACUAAACACAAGCAGAUUAACCUUAACAACAAACUAACUAAUUAACUAUCUUUAAUUAACUAAUUUGUUGCUGGGCCUCUUUCACCAUUGUCUAAACACCUCGGCCCAUUCGUCAUUUAAUUCAUUAGCCCAUCAGUGUUUUAAUUGGUGAAGUUGCAGUUUCACCCUUGAACAUGUGAAGCUGUAUUAUCCUGAUAACCUGCACUCAUAUUUAAUAGUAUAUUAGUCCAGUAGUUAUAUGUUUAAAACUAAACCUUGUAAAUUACUUCUUUAGUUCCCACGUUCCGGAGCCCGAACGGCAUUACCCGGAAAAAGAACGUGUCAUGCUCGGUUAUGAAAGACGUUUUUUUCGGUCCUGCUUCGCCCAGUAUGCUGCCGAAUCGGACAUCAUCCGGCGCGCUUUCGGGAGUACGCCUUCUCCUUCUAACGCCAGGAACACUUCUCUUUGGUUUGGUCCGGACUCGACCUGUUUGCGGGACCCGGUGUAUGGUGCUUUCCCCUUGUUGUUCUAGGACCUCGAGGGGUAAUGCUUUGUAGGAAGGAGAUGCUCCCUCCUUUUGGUGUCAGUUAUUAUAUCCCCCUCCUCUCCUCUUUUGACAUUGCAUCGCUUGUUUAAAUUUCGGGACCAGGUAAUCCUCCGUGUUCAUCACGCCUUGGGCUCAGGACAACGACGACGAACCGGGUCCCUCUCAGCCCGUUGAGUAAGGCCAUCAUUAUCGUCGAUUCAUCGGCUUCUUCCAGCUAUUGGACCGCCAUGACGAACCGGUUCGUGUCACCCCAGAGGGUCUCAUUAUCACCCUAUGAGAAACCCAAGAGGGUUGUUAAUCUCUUCUUCGCUGUCUUUAAAGUUUAAAGGGUCAUAAUACUUAUAAUAAUACAAAGAUAACAAAAUAAAUGGAAACAAAAUAAUAUAGGGUUAAAUAUGCAAAUUAUUAAAUUUAAAGAUUGUUAUUUUCAAGAUCUUCUAUAGAUGAUCGAAUUCCGUUACUUCAUCUAAAUCAAUUGCCUAACAACGAGAGGAGGGGAGAAGGUUGGAAAAAACUGGAAGAAAUAAGUUGCAGGUUUUUUACAGAGGUGCGUUUGAUUGAUGCUUCUUAUAUUACCAUCAUUUAAUUAUAAUUAUUACAUAUUAUCAAUGGCAGAUCAACAACGGAGGAUAUGAAGAGAUCGCCGUCGCCAAACCCGAGCUCUUUUACAUCCAAUCUUCUUGGAGGGAGGUUUUGUCUUUGUUCUCCGAUGACGCAUCCUGGCUCCUUCCGACGACGCUUGCACCCACCGUAACGAAAACAAACAAUCAAAUCAUCGGGGUGCCAACACCAUCAAGAACUUUGUUCCCUCCUCCAAGACCGAAGAAAAUAUCUAUUACCUCAACUACUGCAACUGAAGUUCUUGAUUCCACCGGGGUGUCGUAAUCAAGAACUUUGUUCCCUCCUCCUCGACCAAGGAAUUUAUCUUCUGAAACUGAACUUCUUGAUUCUACAGAGAAUAAAGAAACAACAUCACACUUUUUGGAAGAAUAAAUAAGAUGAAUUCAAAUUUUAUUGGAUUUUUUUAAAUAAUUUCAAGUAUUUUUCUUCUUUAUUAAAUUCCAAUAUCGGCAUUAUAAUGUAAUCUGAAACACAAUAAAACAGUUGUUUGCUUAUGAAAUACUAUAAAUAUUGAUGAUCCUAUGAUAAUUAUUAGAAAUGUUUAAAAAACUACUUUUUCAGGAUAAACAGAGGUGUUAAUUUAUUAUUAGUAUCAAAGAUUUGCAACCAUUGUCAGUUUCUGAAGAAAGGAAAUAAAAAGAUAAGAUAAGAAAACAAAUUGAACUAAUUUUCAACUUACUUGCAAUCUG